UGGGAUAGCUAGUGUCGAAGUUUCCGACGUUUUGUAUUCGGGUUGAAUACAAAGGAUAGUGGAUUGAAAUUCCCAAGUAGGAUCUUGGGGAGUGGAUGUAGGUGCAAGGUUAGCACCGAACCACUAUAAAUCCUUGUGUUUGUGGUGUGCUUUAUCUCUUCACUUUAUUUCUUUAUUAUAUUCUUGCAUUCCUGCUUUAGGUAAUUCAUAUUGAAUUAAAGUCUUUGUUUUGAUCUUCAU
rnacentral:lncRNA from 1 species